rnacentral:rRNA from 1 species
AUACGGAGGGUGCAAGCGUUGUUCGGAAUUAUUGGGCGUAAAGCGCGCGUAGGCGGUUUCUUAAAGUCUGACGUGAAAGCCCCGGGCUCAACCUGGGAAGUGCAUUGGAAACUGGGGGACUUGAGUACGGGAGAGGGUAGUGGAAUUCCUAGUGUAGGAGUGAAAUCCGUAGAUAUUAGGAGGAACACCGGUGGCGAAGGCGGCUACCUGGACCGAUACUGACGCUGAGACGCGAAAGCGUGGGGAGC